UGUUAAUAUUUUCAUCCAUUUGUACUGUUAAAAUCUGGCGUGGUUGAUGAAGUAACCAAACAGUGACAUGCAUGUGACGUGCCAUGUGCAUACAAGAUGAUGUAUAGGGACCAAUUUUUAAUAAUAGGAAAUUGAUGAAAUUUUCAACA
rfam:Gossypium raimondii Chr03_contig_820, whole genome shotgun sequence.